AGGAUUACACACAGGUGGUCUAUCUAAUCAAUGGAAGGUAUAGAGACUUGGAGACAUGAGUGUAGGCUGGGACUGGCUUGGGACCACCACAGUUUGGGGCAAGUCCAGCCUCUUCCUCUGCCUUUUUUUUUUUUUUUUUUUGCCUCUGAGACCCAACCAAAAGCUUCUAGAUCCUUUUGGUGCAAUUUUGGAGAUAUGCAAGAUGCUUAGACACAUUUAACCACUGUCAGAUUAAUUCUGUGCUUACAAAAGGGUUGCUACUGUGUUAUAUUUAUUUUUGUAAACAAGCAAAUAAUUCUGCUGUGCAAUGGGUGGGGUGGGUAGAAGUCCUGGACCACUUGGCCCACAGUGUGUCAGAAUUAGAGUAAUGGCUGCUCUCCACUUAAAAAAUUAUAAAGAACAGAAAAUAUAAAUGUUAUCUUAGGGCAUCCAGUGACACAGUUUAUAAAAAUGACUAGCUGUCUCUUGUGGACAGAUAUGAUAUUGUUCUGCAUUUAAAAUAGAGUAUGCUGUCAAGUAUCGAUAUGCAUUUACUUACAUUUUGUUAUGGAGUUUUAAUAUCUAAAACUAGGAUUUAAAAAAAUAUAACCAUUGGAAAUCUUUUCCUUCUCCAUUUACAGCCUUUAUUUUCUAUAGCUCGAGAGAGAACUAAAUUAUUACUGUCUCAAUGAAACUUAUUGUGAGGUAGUUCCUUGGUCAGGUGGCUGGAGAUAUGAAUGGAGAAGUGGCUCGAUCUCUCUUAAUGCAAGUUGUCAUUGAUUUUCACCAUGUGUUGGUUGGCUGAUGUCCUGGUAGGAGAAUUUGUCCUCAUAUGUGGUGUAGUGAUGAUGCAGGAGGAGUCUGUGUAGAUUUUACCAGCUGUGUAACUUUGUCUUAUAGACACAUCCUGUAGUCAGAAUCAGCAGGCCUUGGAAAUCAUUUUCCAAAUCCAAGCUUCAGCAUGCUGGAGCAUAUCAUAUGGAAGAUACCUGAUGAGUGAAGCAAUGAUUGACCAAUGCAAUGUUUCUGGGACUCAGAAGAGGCAGUUUAUACUUCAGGAUGGAAGUCGGAAAGGAAAUCAGCAAAAUCAGCAAAGGCUUUCAAGAAAAGCCACCAUGAAUUGCGGCCCAACCAUGCCCACCUGUCUUGGAGCCAACUGAGUGUGGACUGAAACCUCCAAAAACUCCUGUGCUGUCUUUGGAAACAAGCAGCUUUCCAGUGAUGGAAGGGGUGGAUUGAGCUUGGAACUCUUCAGAAGGCCCCACACCAAGGUCAGUGUUCCAGGGAUCUGUCUCAUGGUUCUCUAUAGCCUCACUGUCUAUAGCCUGAAGUGUGUGCUGGGCCAUCUCUCGUGCCUGGGUCUGGGAGCUCAGGAGAGCUGACAGUUCUUCAGGGAGGUGUAGGUGGAGAUUUCAGGUGUGCUG